rnacentral:tRNA from 1 species
AAUUCUUUAGCAAAAACAAAUGCAUUAAGCUUAGAACUUAAAGAUAAAAGAAAUUUUAAGAAUUA